rnacentral:rRNA from 1 species
UACGUAGGGCGCAAGCGUUGUCCGGAAUUAUUGGGCGUAAAGAGCUCGUAGGCGGUUUGUCGCGUCUGCUGUGAAAACCUAAGGCUCAACCUUGGGCUUGCAGUGGGUACGGGCAGACUAGAGUGCGGGUAGGGGUGACUGGAAUUCCUGGUGUAGCGGUGGAAUGCGCAGAUAUCAGGAGGAACACCGAUGGCGAAAGGCAGGUCACUGGG